CUUUCUUUGCUGGCGACCGGCGCACGGGUGAGUAACACGUAUCCAACCUGCCCUUUACUCGGGGAUAGCCUUUCGAAAGAAAGAUUAAUACCCGAUGGCAUAAUGAUUCCGCAUGGUUUCAUUAUUAAAGGAUUCCGGUAAAGGAUGGGGAUGCGUUCCAUUAGGUUGUUGGUGAGGUAACGGCCCACCAAGCCUUCGAUGGAUAGGGGUUCUGAGAGGAAGGUCCCCCACAUUGGAACUGAGACACGGCCCAA
rnacentral:rRNA from 1 species